AUGGGGAUAAGAAUGCUGAAGAAACCCAGCUUCUUCCUGUUAUCAGUCUUCCUGCUGCGCAUGCCAGGCUAUGUAGACGGAGGUGAUUCAGUGUCCCAGACCCCUGUGCUGUGGAAACAUCAGGACGACAACGCCACGUUGGAGUGCAGUCACACGAAGGGUGGUACAUAUCGACAGAUGUACUGGUACCAGCAGCUGCCUGGUCAGACCAUGAAACAAAUAGUUUUCACCACAGCAUACAGCGCUCACCAGUAUGAACAAGGCUUCAGUGAGGAGAAAUUUCCAUCUGAGAAGAAGGUUGCAGAGAAUGGAUCUCUGACAGUGAAGAAGCUGCAGCCUGCAGACAGCGGAGUGUAUUUCUGCGCUGUGAGUGAACACAGUGAUGCAGCUGAUUAA